rnacentral:rRNA from 1 species
UACGUAGGGGGCAAGCGUUGUCCGGAUUUAUUGGGCGUAAAGAGCGUGUAGGCGGCCAUGUAGGUCCGUUGUGAAAACUCGAGGCUCAACCUCGAGACGCCGAUGGAAACCAUGUGGCUAGAGUCCGGAAGAGGAGAGUGGAAUUCCUGGUGUAGCGGUGAAAUGCGCAGAUAUCAGGAGGAACACCAAUGGCGAAGGCAGCUCGCUGGGACGGUACUGACGCUGAGGCGCGAAAGCGUGGGGAGCAAACAGG